rnacentral:rRNA from 1 species
GACGAACGCUGGCGGCGUGCUUAACACAUGCAAGUCGAACGGAAAGGCCCUGCUUUUGUGGGGUGCUCGAGUGGCGAACGGGUGAGUAACACGUGAGUAACCUGCCCUUGACUUUGGGAUAACUUCAGGAAACUGGGGCUAAUACCGGAUAGGAGCUCCUGCUGCAUGGUGGGGGUUGGAAAGUUUCGGCGGUUGGGGAUGGACUGGCGGCUUAUCAGCUUGUUGGUGGGGUAGUGGCUUACCAAGGCUUUGACGGGUAGCCGGCCUGAGAGGGUGAACGGCGACAAGGGGACUGAGAUACGGACCAGACUCGUACGGGAGGCAGCAGUGGGGAAUAUUGCACAAUGGGCGCAAGCCUGAUGCAGCAACGCCGCGUGCGGGAUGACGGCCUUCGGGUGGUAAACCGCUUUCGCCUGUGACGAAGCGUGAGUGACGGUAAUGGGUAAAGAAGCACCGGCUAACUACGUG